rnacentral:rRNA from 1 species
GCUAGUAAUCGCAGAUCAGCAUGCUGCGGUGAAUACGUUCCCGGGCCUUGUACACACCGCCCGUCACACCAUGGGAGUCGGUAACACCCGAAGUCGGUAGCCUAACCGUAAGGAGGGCGCCGCCGAAGGUGGGAUUGAUGACUGGGGUGAAGUCGUAACAAGGUAGC